UUGAGACAAAGUUCUGAGACACUCCGACUCUGAGUAUGAUAGAAGUCAGUGCACUACAGAACUUUGUCUCUAG
rfam:Mus musculus chromosome 6, GRC primary reference assembly.